rnacentral:ncRNA from 1 species
GUAUUGCAUCAAGAACGCAAGGCGUACCAACCGACACUCGAUGCACGGUGGUUUAGAAUGUGGAGAUUAAAUCUCAAAUUAUCGAGAAAUCUCAAACUUGUUGCAAUUUUU